rfam:TPA: Bos taurus chromosome 7, whole genome shotgun sequence.
UCCCUAGUGGUCCAGUGGCUAAGACUCUGCACUCCCAAUGCAGAGAGGGCCCAGGUUCAAUCCCUGGUCAGGGAA